AAUUUUGGACAAUGGGGGAAACCCUGAUCCAGCCAUCCCGCGUGUAUGAUGAAGGCCUUCGGUUUGUAAAGUACUUUUGGCAGAGAAGAAAAGGUACCUCCUAAUACGAGGUACUGCUGACGGUAUCUGCAGAAUAAGCACCGGCUAACUCCGUGCCAGCAGCCGCGGUAAUACGUAGGGUGCAAGCGUUAAUCGGGAUUACUGGGCGUAAAGCGUGUGUAGGCGGUUCGGAAAGAAAGAUGUGGAAUCCCAAGGGUCCACCUUGGAACUGCAUUUUUAACUGCCGGGCUAGAGGAAGUCAGAGGGGGGUAGAAUUCCACGUGUAGCAGUGAAAUGCGUAGAUAUGUGGAGGAAUACCGAUGGCGAAGGCAGCCCCCUGGGAUAAUACUGACGCUCAGACACGAAAGCGUGGGGAGCAAAC
rnacentral:rRNA from 1 species